rnacentral:lncRNA from 1 species
UCUGGAAACUGUACUAGCAAUAAUGAAAUAUAAAGUUUGUCAAGCAUAUUUUGUAGAAUGAGAAAUAAUAGGAAAAGAGAAAAAAAGUACUUUCGAAGCUACAACUAACAUGAUUAUAUCCACUAUACUUUCAGAUCCAUGAAUUCACUCACUCAUAUCCUAAACCUCUGACCUAGUCAAUCAUACUCAUCAGUCAGCGAGCUGUGCAGCGACAUUAGCAGCACAGCUCGUUUUGAAGGUGCCAAAAGUUGACAACCAAACUAAAAUUAAUCACAAAAUAGGAACUACACAAGAGAAAAAGCCAAUUUGGAACACCUUGCAUUUGCAAUUACCUCGAAGAAGAAAGGUAAAUCAUUUGCUCUAGAACAACCAUGAUGUAAAUCAUUUUGAACAACCAGCCUACGCAACACAAGGUCUCAGACUCAACAAGCUUCUAAGUUUGGAAUUAGAUAUUUUUCAUGGUUCUAGAACCGAAUUGCUCUUUGUGAGGUUUAUUCUUGCCUCUGCACCUUCACUUUAAAAGACCAUCCUCAAGGUAGAUGCAAAAGACGUAGAUGAAAGCCAAAGCUUGAAGAUCACGAAGGAGUUGAUGGGGCUCCUCGGGCAUCUCCUAAAUUGGAAAUAAUAUGUGAACUAUCAUAUGAUGAGUAAUUCUCAAUCACCAUGGAUAUUUCAGAGUUGAUGUCUCCUCGCAGGACAACAACAAAAAUAGUGAUGGUUUUCCAAGUCCCUCACUACAGAUUACCCACUCCUUGAUGCAACAGAAGUCGUGACAGAGACAUAUCUGAUUAGUUUGUUGUGAUCCUUCAAGUUUGUUGAGGU